GUGGGGAAUAUUGGACAAUGGGCGAAAGCCUGAUCCAGCCAUGCCGCGUGUGUGAAGAAGGUCUUCGGAUUGUAAAGCACUUUAAGUUGGGAGGAAGGGCAGUAAGUUAAUACCUUGCUGUUUUGACGUUACCGACAGAAUAAGCACCGGCUAACUUCGUGCCAGCAGCCGCGGUAAUACGAAGGGUGCAAGCGUUAAUCGGAAUUACUGGGCGUAAAGAGCGCGUAGGUGGUGUUUUAAGUUGGAGGUGAAAUCACCGGGCUCAACCUGGGAACUUCCUACAAAACUGCAUGACUAGAGUACGGUAGAGGGUAGUUGAAUUUCCUGUGUAGCGGUGAAAUGCGUAACUAUAGGAAGGAACACCAGUGGCGAAGGCGACUACCUGGACUGAUACUGACACUGAGGUGCGAAAGCGUGGGGAGCAAACAGGAUUAGAUACCCCUGUAGUCC
rnacentral:rRNA from 1 species